UAAUCAAAAACAAAAUCCUUUAAUGACAUCAUUAAGGUUACCAAAAUCAUUUAACGACAAUAUUCAUCUGUUAAUUAUAGGGUUUAUUGGAUCUAAAGACGGGUCAUCAAGAUUUCAUAAACUGAAGCAAAAUAUACUGAAUAUACAAAUAUUUAUCUGUUACCAAAUUAUAAACAAAUAAAUUCGUAAAACAAUUUAAUAUUUUAUAUAUGAAAUCAAUUAAAUCUUAAUCACAUAAAAAUUAGCACAAAAAAGGAAUCAACAAUUAAAAAAUUAUCAAAUCUCUGU
rnacentral:sRNA from 1 species